UUGCCAUUUAUUUCAACGGUGGUUCCACAAAUUAAUGUUUUUAAAAUGUACAAAAUUACCAUAUUGUUAAUAUUCUCAGCACUAUGUUUAUCACAAACUUAUGGUUUCACUUGCCAGAAGGCUGGGCAGUUCAUCAUGAAAGGAGUGGGUUGUAGACAGUAUUAUGAAUGUGUAAAAUCCAAAGAAUAUCCAAAAUUGUUUGAAAAAUCUGUUAAGAAAUGUACCGGAAAUACAAUAUUUUACCCAAAUUCUCCCAAAACAGGCAGUUGCAGUUUAUCCGCAAUAUGUAUAGAUUCUAUUUGCACAGGAAGAGAUAAUGGAACGAAAAUUUGCGAUCCAAAUGCUCAUAUAUUGGGUUCAGAGGCAGUAGAAAAGAUUAUGUACAAAUGUACUGGGAAUCCCAUAGCACCUGUACUCAAAAACUGUUUAAUAAAUCCCACAAUUUCGACAUUUUGUGCAGAACAAUGUCUAAAAUAACUAUAAUAAUACGAAGUAAAAUAAUAAAUCAUUGUAAUAAGUA